rnacentral:rRNA from 1 species
CCUACGGGAGGCAGCAGUGAGGAAUAUUGGGCAAUGCCCGAAAGGGUGACCCAGCAACGCCGCGUGGAGGAUGAAAGUCGUAAGAUUGUAAACUCCUGUGAGAUGAGACGAAAAAAUGAAUUUCGAAAGGAAUUUAUUUUGACUGUAUCGUCAGAGGAAGCCCCGGCUAACUACGUGCCAGCAGCCGCGGUAAU